rnacentral:rRNA from 1 species
CGAAGCCGCGAGGCAGAGCAAAUCCCCAAAAGCCGUCUCAGUUCGGACUGCAGUCUGCAACUCGACUGCACGAAGUCGGAAUUGCUAGUAAUCGCGGAUCAGCAUGCCGCGGUGAAUACGUUCCCGGGUCUUGUACACACCGCCCGUCACACCAUGAGAGCCGGAAACACCCGAAGUCCGUAGCCUAACCGCAAGGGGGGCGCGGCCGAAGGUGGGUUUGGUAAUUGGGGUGAAGUCGUAACAAGGUACC